GAUGAACGCUGGCGGCGUGCCUAAUACAUGCAAGUCGAACGAAACUUCUUUAUCACCGAGUGCUUGCACUCACCGAUAAAGAGUUGAGUGGCGAACGGGUGAGUAACACGUGGGCAACCUGCCCAAAAGAGGGGGAUAACACUUGGAAACAGGUGCUAAUACCGCAUAACCAUAGUUACCGCAUGGUAACUAUGUAAAAGGUGGCUAUACUACCGCUUUUGGAUGGGCCCGCGGCGCAUUAGCUAGUUGGUAGGGUAAAGGCUUACCAAGGCAAUGAUGCGUAGCCGAAUUGAGAGGUUGAUCGGCCACAUUGGGACUGAGACACGGCCCAAACUCCUACGGGAGGCAGCAGUAGGGAAUCUUCCACAAAGGGCGAAAGCCUGAUGGAGCAACGCCGCGUGGGUGAAGAAGGUCUUCGGAUCGUAAAACCCUAUUGUUAGAGAAGAAAGUGCGUGAGAGUAACUGUUCACGUUUCGACGGUAUCUAACCAGAAAGCCACGGCUAACUACGUG
rnacentral:rRNA from 1 species